GCUUGUUGCUUUACUCUACUUGGCCGAAAGGCUAUUGCUGUCGCUUUGUGGUUGGUUGACUGCAGUUUUUCUUUUUGCUAAAUAAUAAUAAUAAUAGUAAAUACAAAGAUGGAGACAAAGCAAAGAACAGCUGAGUUGCGAAUACUCAGAGAGUGAUAAGGUGCAGCGGAACGGUAAAUACUGGAGAUAAAUGUACGCUACGUCAGACGAAAUGCAAGUGGAAAGGCAUAAUGAUAAUGAGCUACACAG